GUGGUUGUAGACGCGAAACCUUGCGAUCUACCCUUGAGCAGGUUGAAGGUUGGGUAAAACCAACUGGAGGACCGAACGAAUAAGCGUUGAAAAGCUUCUCGAUGACUUGAGGGUAGGGGUGAAAGGCUAAUCAAGCUGGGAAAUAGCUCGUACUCCCCGAAAUGCCUUUUGGGGCAGCGUUGUAAUAAAGAGUCUACUGGAGGUAGAGCUACUGAUUGGAUGCGGGGGCUUCACCGCCUACCAAAUCCUGACAAACUCCGAAUGCCAGUAGUAUGAUUUACAGCAGUGAGUGACUGGGUGCUAAUGUCCAGUCGCAAAAGAGGAACAACUCAGACCAGCAACUAAGGUCCCGAAGAAUAUGCUAAGUUGAUCUAACGAUGUUUUGUUGCAGAGACAGCUAGGAUGUUAGCUUGGAAGCAGCUAUUCAUUCAAAGAGUGCGUAACAGCUCACUAGUCGAGCGACAGAGCGUGGAUAAUAAACGGGCAUCAAGCAUAUCACCGAAGUUCUGGGCGCGAGAGCGCGGUAGGGGAGCAUUCCAUUCAGCGUCGAAGCAGUUUCGUGAGGAAUUGUGGAGCGUAUGGAAAAGCAAAUGUAGGCAUGAGUAACGAUAAUGCGGGAGAGUAACCCGCACACCGCAAGACCAAGGUUUCCUGAUCAACGCUAAUCGGAUCAGGGUUAGUCGGGUCCUAAGGGUAAGCCGAACGGCGAUCUCGAUGGAUAAUCGGUUAAUAUUCCGAUACUAACAUAUACCUCGAUGGAGAGACGAAGGAACGUAAGUGCCGCCACCUGACGGAAUAGGUGGUUAAAGGGCGUAGGUAUAGGGGCAGAUUAAGAGUUAGUCCUUGCUGAAACCUGACAGUACAGAGAGCCUACGGGCAAUUUGAUAGAGCACCCAAGUCGACUUCCGAGAAAAUCUUCUAAGUUAUAGUAUAUGUUACCCGUACCGUAAACCGACACAGGUGGUCGAGGAGAGUAUCCUAAGGUGCUCGAGUGAAUCACGGUUAAGGAACUAGGCAAAUUAACCCCGUAACUUCGGGAAAAGGGGUCCCUAUGAAAGUAGGGCGCAGCGAAGAGGUCCAGGCGACUGUUUAUCAAAAACACAGGGCUCUGCAAAUUCGAAAGAAGACGUAUAGGGCCUGACACCUGCCCGGUGCUGGAAGGUUAAGAGGGGAUGUCAUCGCAAGAGAAGCAUUGAAUCGAAGCCCCAGUAAACGGCGGCCGUAACUAUAACGGUCCUAAGGUAGCGAAAUUCCUUGUCGGGUAAGUUCCGACCUGCACGAAUGGUGUAACGAUCUGGACACUGUCUCAACCGUGAGCUCGGUGAAAUUGUAGUCCCGGUGAUGAUGCCGGGUACCCGCAACGGGACGAAAAGACCCCGUGAACCUUUACUAUAGCUUAACGCUGAAUUUGGGUACACAAUGUGUAGGAUAGGCCGGAGGCUUUGAAGCGGGCACGCCAGUGUUCGUGGAGCCGACGUUGAAAUACGGCCCUUUGUGUAUUUGAGUUCUAACCCUGCGAAGGGGACACCGUUUGGUGGGUAGUUUGACUGGGGUGGUCGCCUCCAAAAGCGUAACGGAGGCUUCCCAAGGUACCCUCAGCACGAAUGGUAACCGUGCGCGGAGUGCAAUAGCAUAAGGGUGCUUGACUGUGAGACAUACAAGUCGACCAGGUACGAAAGUAGGGUAUAGUGAUCCGGUGGUUCUGCGUGGACUGGCCAUCGCUCAAAGGAUAAAAGGUACUCCGGGGAUAACAGGCUGAUCGCCGCCAAGAGCUCAUAUCGACGCGGCGGUUUGGCACCUCGAUGUCGGCUCGUCACAUCCUGGGGCUGGAGAAGGUCCCAAGGGUUCGGCUGUUCGCCGAUUAAAGUGGCACGCGAGCUGGGUUCAGAACGUCGUGAGACAGUUCGGUCUCUAUCUGUUGCGGGCGUAGGAAGAUUGAGGGGUCCUGACUUUAGUACGAGAGGACCGAGUUGGACGAACCUCCGGUGUAUCGGUUAUGCUGCCAAGUGUACUGCCGAGUAGCCGCGUUCGGUCUGGAUAAGCGCUGAAAGCAUCUAAGCGCGAAGCCAUCCCCAAGAUAAGUCUUCCCUUGA
rnacentral:rRNA from 1 species